AAACAGUUCCGACUUCAAAUACCCUUGACCUUCACGGGGAAUCUGUUAAGAGUGCGCGGUCUCUUGUUGAAAAGUUCCUGAAAGAAAAGAAACAAGAACAAAGCUGGAGUCGUCAUGGACAGACACUGUCAAUCAUCACAGGAAGGGGAAUCAUAGCCUUGACGGGCGUGCUGUUCUGAAGCCGGUCGUUGAGAAACAACUGAGACAAAACGGCUACAAAUACACGGUGGAUCCAAAAAAUGCGGGUCGUAUCAUUGUAAAACUUGAUUAUUAUAAUAUGGUUUAAGAAGCAUUUUAUGCUUUUUACCAGUAUAACCAUACCCGCAUGCAUGUGUUCGAGAGACCAAGCAUCAGACCAUUUCCUAAUAAUACCAGUAUAAUCAUACCCACAUGUGUUCGAUAAGGAUUGGAAAGCCACAUUAACUCGGUGCGCCUAGUGGCUGCAAGAGUUGUAUGGUCCCAGGAGUUGAGAUUGAGAAUACGAUGUGCAGUUGAGAUGACAUCCAAUGAU